GACGAACGCUGGCGGCGUGCUUAACACAUGCAAGUCGAACGGAAAGGCCCUGCUUUUGUGGGGUGCUCGAGUGGCGAACGGGUGAGUAACACGUGAGUAACCUGCCCUUGACUUUGGGAUAACUUCAGGAAACUGGGGCUAAUACCGGAUAGGAGCUCCUGCUGCAUGGUGGGGGUGGGAAAGUUUCGGCGGUUGGGGAUGGACUCGCGGCUUAUCAGCUUGUUGGUGGGGUAGUGGCUUACCAAGGCUUUGACGGGUAGCCGGCCUGAGAGGGUGACCGGCCACAUUGGGACUGAGAUACGGCCCAGACUCCUACGGGAGGCAGCAGUGGGGAAUAUUGCACAAUGGGCGGAAGCCUGAUGCAGCAACGCCGCGUGCGGGAUGACGGCCUUCGGGUUGUAAACCGCUUUCGCCUGUAACGAAGCGUGAGUGACGGUAAUGGGUAAAGAAGCACCGGCUAACUACGUG
rnacentral:rRNA from 1 species